UUCCCAGGGGGUGAUGUGCUGACAGCCAUGCUGGCUGGAGAGCUGCCCUGGGACCAGCCCAGCGACAGCUGCCAGGAGUACAGCGACUGGAAGGAGAAAAAAACCUACCUCCCACCUUGGAAGAAGAUUGAUUCAGCUCCCUUGGCCCUGCUGCACAAGAUCCUCACGGAGAGCCCGGCAGCGAGGAUCACCAUUCCUGACAUCCAGAAGGACCGGUGGUACAGCA